AAGAAGUUCUCUUGGAAAACCACGACGAUUCUCUGAGCAAUUCUUGAAUGAAGAAAAGGAGAAACUUAAUCAAUACCGUGAAUCUGUCAGAUCACAUUAUACUGAACUUCGUGAAGGUACCAGGGAAGGGCUACCCACAGAUCUUGCUAGGCCUUUGUCGGUAGGGCAACGUGUGAUUGCGAUCCAUCCAAAAACAAGAGAGAUACAUGAUGGAAAUGUG
rnacentral:misc_RNA from 1 species